rnacentral:rRNA from 1 species
GUGGGGAAUUUUGGACAAUGGGCGCAAGCCUGAUCCAGCAAUGCCGCGUGCAGGAAGAAGGCCUUCGGGUUGUAAACUGCUUUUGUACGGAACGAAACGGUCCUGGCUAAUAUCCGGGGCUAAUGACGGUACCGUAAGAAUAAGCACCGGCUAACUACGUGCCAGCAGCCGCGGUAAUACGUAGGGUGCGAGCGUUAAUCGGAAUUACUGGGCGUAAAGCGUGCGCAGGCGGUGCUGUAAGACAGGCGUGAAAUCCCCGGGCUCAACCUGGGAAUUGCGAUUGUGACUGCAGUGCUGGAGUGCGGCAGAGGGGGAUGGAAUUCCGCGUGUAGCAGUGAAAUGCGUAGAUAUGCGGAGGAACACCGAUGGCGAAGGCAAUCCCCUGGGCCUGCACUGACGCUCAUGCACGAAAGCGUGGGGAGCAAACAGGAUUAGAUACCCGGGUAGUCC